GAUGAACGCAGGCGGCGUGCCUAACACAUGCAAGUCGAACCGAGAUGCGUAUCGGAAAGCUUCGGCCGGAAGAUACGUAGUCUAGUGGCGGACGGGUGAGUAACACGUGGGUAACCUGCCUUAUGGAGGGGGAUAACAGAGAGAAAUCACUGCUAAUACCGCAUAAGCACACAGUACCGCAUGGUACAGGGUGAAAAGAUUUAUCGCCAUAAGAUGGACCCGCGUCUGAUUAGCCAGUUGGCAGGGUAAAAGCCUACCAAAGCAACGAUCAGUAGCCGAUCUGAGAGGAUGACCGGCCACAUUGGGACUGAGACACGGCCCAAACUCCUACGGGAGGCAGCAGUGGGGAAUAUUGCACAAUGGGGGGAACCCUGAUGCAGCGACGCCGCGUGAGUGAAGAAGUAUUUCGGUAUGUAAAGCUCUAUCAGCAGGGAAGAUAAUGACAGUACCUGACUAAGAAGCCCCGGCUAACUACGUGCCAGCAGCCGCGGUAAUACGUAGGGGGCAAGCGUUAUCCGGAUUUACUGGGUGUAAAGGGAGCGUAGACGGAAUGGCAAGUCUGAAGUGAAAUACCCGGGCUCAACCUGGGAACUGCUUUGGAAACUGUUGUUCUAGAGUGUUGGAGAGGUAAGUGGAAUUCCUGGUGUAGCGGUGAAAUGCGUAGAUAUCAGGAAGAACACCGGAGGCGAAGGCGGCUUACUGGACAAUAACUGACGUUGAGGCUCGAAAGCGUGGGGAUCAAACAGG
rnacentral:rRNA from 1 species